AUGGCAGGGCUCGAGCUCCUGCUGCUGGUCGGGACGAGGGAUGGCGAGGCGACGAAGGAACGGCAGGGCGAGGCUCCAAGCGGCGGAGGGCGCGGCAAGGAGACGGGCGUCCAUGAGGGACCUCCUGUCCAAGGCGCAGCGGCGGGAGCUCCGUCUUGGGUAGUCGGGGACGAGGUGCAGGAGAGGAAGGCGGGAGGCGAGCCGCGCGUGAGGGAUAUGGACGGCGACCGGUGCAGCGCGACGGUGGCGCACAACGGCAAGGCUGCGUCACAGGGAAUGAGAGGGAGAUGGGAGGUUUGGUCGUGGGUUCCCUGGCGGCGUGAGGAGGGAGACGAGGGAAGGGAUCGAGGGAGAGAGAGGUUUCGGGUGCGGGCGCUGUGGAGAUCAAGAGGAGGCGGCGGGGGGGGAGACGAGGGAAGGGAGAGAUCGCACGGGCUA
rnacentral:rRNA from 1 species